UACGAAGGGGGCUAGCGUUGCUCGGAAUCACUGGGCGUAAAGCGCACGUAGGCGGCUUCUUAAGUCAGGGGUGAAAUCCUGGAGCUCAACUCCAGAACUGCCUUUGAUACUGAGGAGCUCGAGUCCGGGAGAGGUGAGUGGAACUCCGAGUGUAGAGGUGAAAUUCGUAGAUAUUCGGAAGAACACCAGUGGCGAAGGCGGGUCUCUGGGCCGAUACUGACGCUGAGGAGCGAAAGCGUGGGGAGCGAACAGG
rnacentral:rRNA from 1 species